UACGUAGGUGGCAAGCGUUGUCCGGAUUUACUGGGCGUAAAGAGCGCGCAGGCGGUCGUUCAAGUCGCGUGUGAAAGCCCCCGGCUCAACUGGGGAGGGUCACGCGAUACUGAUCGACUCGAAGGCAGGAGAGGGUAGUGGAAUUCCCGGUGUAGUGGUGAAAUGCGUAGAUAUCGGGAGGAACACCAGUGGCGAAGGCGACUACCUGGCCUGUUCUUGACGCUGAGGCGCGAAAGCGAUGGGGAGCGAACGAGG
rnacentral:rRNA from 1 species